UACGAAGGGUGCAAACGUUGCUCGGAAUUAUUGGGCGUAAGCGCACGUAGGCGGCAUUGCAAGUCCCAUGUGAAAUCCCACGGCUUAACCGUGGAAGUGCAUGGGAAACUGCAGUGCUUGAGUACUUAAGAGGAUCGCGGAAUUCCCGGGUGUAGAGGUGAAAUUCGUAGAUAUCAGGAGGAACACCGGUGGCGAAGGCGGCACUCUGGACCGGUACUGACGCUGAGGAGCGAAAAGCGUGGGGGAGCGAACAGG
rnacentral:rRNA from 1 species